AGCGGCAGACGGGAUAGUAACACGUGGGAACGUACCCUUCAGUUCGGAACAACCCAGGGAAACUUGGGCUAAUACCGAAUACGUCCGUAAGGAGAAAGAUUUAUCGCUGAAGGAUCGGCCCGCGUCUGAUUAGCUAGUUGGUGAGGUAAUGGCUCACCAAGGCGACGAUCAGUAGCUGGUCUGAGAGGAUGAUCAGCAUCACUGGGACUGAGACACGGCCCAG
rnacentral:rRNA from 1 species